rnacentral:rRNA from 1 species
AUACGGAGGAUGCGAGCGUUAUCCGGAUUUAUUGGGCUUAAAGGGUGCGUAGGCUGUGCGUUAAGUCAGGGGUGAAAUGCCGUCGCUCAACGACGGAGCUGCCCUUGAUACUGGCGUGCUGGAGUACGGAUGACGGUGGAGGAAUGAGUGGUGUAGCGGUGAAAUGCUUAGAUAUCACUCAGAACACCGAUUGCGAAGGCAUCUGACGAAUCCGUCACUGACGCUGAGGCACGAAAGCGUGGGGAUAGAACAGGAUUAGAUACCCUGGUAUUCCACGCCGUAAACGAUGAUGACUAACCGUCGGCGAUAGACAGCCGGUGGCCAAGCGAAAGCGAUAAGUCAUCCACCUGGGGAGUACGUCGGCAACGAUGAAACUCAAAUGAAUUGACGGGG